rnacentral:rRNA from 1 species
ACGAACGCUGGCGGCGUGGAUAAGACAUGCAAGUCGAACGAGAGAAUUGCUAGCUUGCUAAUAAUUCUCUAGUGGCGCACGGGUGAGUAACACGUGAGUAACCUGCCCCCGAGAGCGGGAUAGCCCUGGGAAACUGUGAUUAAUACCGCAUAGUAUCGAAAGAUUAAAGCAGCAAUGCGCUUGGGGAUGGGCUCGCGGCCUAUUAGUUAGUUGGUGAGGUAACGGCUCACCAAGGCGAUGACGGGUAGCCGGUCUGAGAGGAUGUCCGGCCACACUGGAACUGAGACACGGUCCAGACACCUACGGGUGGCAGCAGUCGAGAAUCAUUCACAAUGGGGGAAACCCUGAUGGUGUGACGCCGCGUGGGGGAAUGAAGGUCUUCGGAUUGUAAACCCCUGUCAUGUGGGAGCAAAUUAAAAAGAUAGUACCACAAGAGGAAGAGACGGCUAACUCUGUGCCAGCAGCCGCGGUAAUACAGAGGUCUCAAGCGUUGUUCGGAAUCACUGGGCGUAAAGCGUGCGUAGGCUGUUUCGUAAGUCGUGUGUGAAAGGCGCGGGCUCAACCCGCGGACGGCACAUGAUACUGCGAGACUAGAGUAAUGGAGGGGGAACCGGAAUUCUCGGUGUAGCAGUGAAAUGCGUAGAUAUCGAGAGGAACACUCGUGGCGAAGGCGGGUUCCUGGACAUUAACUGACGCUGAGGCACGAAGGCCAGGGGAGCGAAAGGGAUUAGAUACCCCUGUAGUCCUGGCAGUAAACGGUGCACGCUUGGUGUGCGGGGAAUCGACCCCCUGCGUGCCGGAGCUAACGCGUUAAGCGUGCCGCCUGGGGAGUACGGUCGCAAGAUUAAAACUCAAAGAAAUUGACGGGGACCCGCACAAGCGGUGGAGUAUGUGGCUUAAUUCGAUGCAACGCGAAGAACCUUACCUGGGCUUGACAUGUAAUGAACAACAUGUGAAAGCAUGCGACUCUUCGGAGGCGUUACACAGGUGCUGCAUGGCCGUCGUCAGCUCGUGUCGUGAGAUGUUUGGUUAAGUCCAGCAACGAGCGCAACCCCUGUUGCCAGUUACCAGCACGUGAAGGUGGGGACUCUGGCGAGACUGCCCAGAUCAACUGGGAGGAAGGUGGGGACGACGUCAGGUCAGUAUGGCCCUUAUGCCCAGGGCUGCACACGUACUACAAUGCCCAGUACAGAGGGGGCCGAAGCCGCGAGGCGGAGGAAAUCCUGAAAACUGGGCCCAGUUCGGACUGUAGGCUGCAACCCGCCUACACGAAGCCGGAAUCGCUAGUAAUGGCGCAUCAGCUACGGCGCCGUGAAUACGUUCCCGGGUCUUGUACACACCGCCCGUCACAUCAUGGAAGCCGGUCGCACCCGAAGUAUCUGAAGCCAACCGCAAGGAGGCAGGGUCCUAAGGUGAGACUGGUAACUGGGAUG